rnacentral:rRNA from 1 species
UACGGGGGGGGCAAGCGUUGUUCGGAAUUACUGGGCGUAAAGGGCUCGUAGGUGGCCAACUAAGUCAGACGUGAAAUCCCUCGGCUUAACCGGGGAACUGCGUCUGAUACUGGAUGGCUUGAGUUCGGGAGAGGGAUGCGGAAUUCCAGGUGUAGCGGUGAAAUGCGUAGAUAUCUGGAGGAACACCGGUGGCGAAGGCGGCAUCCUGGACCGACGACUGACACUGAGGAGCGAAAGCCAGGGGAGCAAACGGG